rnacentral:piRNA from 1 species
AGGGGCAUCAGUGUGUGCACACAGCA